rnacentral:RNase_MRP_RNA from 1 species
CACAAAUAGGGAGUCUGCUCUCAGCUACGCCACGUGGAAAGUCCCCGUGCCUCCAGGCAGAGAGUGCCAGCA